rnacentral:rRNA from 1 species
UACCGGCGGCUCGAGUGGUGGCCACUAUUACUGGGCUUAAAGCGUCCGUAGCUUGGUUGUUAAGUCUCUUGGGAAAUCUGUCGGCUUAACCGACAGGCGUUUAAGGGAUACUGGCAAUCUAGGGACCGGGAGAGGUGAGAGGUACUUCAGGGGUAGGAGUGAAAUCCUGUAAUCCUUGGGGGACCACCUGUGGCGUAGGCGUCUCACCAGAACGGCUCCGACAGUGAGGGACGAAAGCUGGGGGAGCAAACCGGAUUAGAUACCCGGGUAGUCCCAGCCGUAAACGAUGCGCGUUAGGUGUAUCGGUGACCACGAGUCACCGAGGUGCCGAAGGGAAACCGUGAAACGUGCCGCCUGGGAAGUACGGUCGCAAGGCUGAAACUUAAAGGAAUUGGCGGGGGAGCACCACAACAGGUGGAGCCUGCGGUUUAAUCGGACUCAACGCCGGAAACCUCACCGGAUAAGACAGCGGGAUGAUAGCCAGGCUGAAGACUUUGCUUGACUAGCU